ACGUAGAGCGUCCUAAAAUGCAAGUCGUACACUUGUAAAGUGUGGCGGACGGGUGAGUAACGCGUAGGAACCUGCCUCAAUCCGGGAAAUACCCCACCGAAAGGUGGGCUAAUGUCCCAUGAGCUCUCCGGAGCAAAGCUACGGCGGAUUGAGAGGGGCCUGCGUCCUAUCAGCUUGUUGGUGAGGUAAUUGCUCACCAAGGCUAUGACGGGUAGCUGGUCUGAGAGGAUGAUCAGCCACAACGGCACUGAGACACGGGCCGUACACCUACGGGUGGCAGCAGUUAGGAAUCGUACACAAUGGGCGAAAGCCUGAUGUCGUGACGCCGCGUGGAGGAUGAAGGUUCUCGGAUUGUAAACUCCUUUUUUAUGGGAAGAUUAUUGACUGUACCAUAAGAAUAAGCAUCGGCUAACUACGUGCCAGAAGCCUCGGUAAUACGUAGGAUGCGAGCGUUAUCCGGAAUUAUUGGGCGUAAAGAGCGCGUAGGCGGACAUGUAAGUCUGAUCUUAAAUCCCAUGGCCCAACCAUGGUGUCGGAUUGGAUACUGCAUGCCUUGAGUAUUUGCAGGGGCAAGCGGAAUCUGCGGUGUAGGAGUAAAAUCCAUUGAUAUCGCAGAGAACACCAAUGGCGAAGGCAGCUUGCUAGGCACUCACUGACGCUGAGGCGCGAAAGCGUGGGUAGCGAACGGGAUUAGAUACCCCGGUAGUCCACGCCGUAAACGAUGCAAACUAGGUAUUGGAAUUAUCGACCGUUCUGUACCGAAGCUAACGCGUUAAGUUUGCCGCCUGGGGGAGUACGCCGCAGGACUA
rnacentral:rRNA from 1 species